rnacentral:rRNA from 1 species
UAUUGCACAAUGGGCGCAAGCCUGAUGCAGCCAUGCCGCGUGUGUGAAGAAGGCCUUCGGGUUGUAAAGCACUUUCAGUCAGGAGGAAAGGUUAGUAGUUAAUACCUGCUAGCUGUGACGUUACUGACAGGAGAAGCACCGGCUAACUCCGUGCCAGCAGCCGCGGUAAUACGGAGGGUGCGAGCGUUAAUCGGAAUUACUGGGCGUAAAGCGUACGCAGGCGGUUUGUUAAGCGAGAUGUGAAGGCCCCGGGCUCAACCUGGGAACUGCAUUUCGAACUGGCAAACUAGAGUGUGAUAGAGGGUGGUAGAAUUUCAGGUGUAGCGGUGAAAUGCGUAGAGAUCUGAAGGAAUACCGAUGGCGAAGGCAGCCACCUGGGUCAACACUGACGCUCAUUACGAAA